CGUAAUUUACCUUGAAAGCCACUGGAGCAGGCACCACUCAUGUGACUGCAGGACCACAGGGCUGAGGGCAUCCUUGAGAACUCAACUUGAAUGUGUGGCAGACUUCCCAUCACCAAGCCAUCCCUAUGGACCCAGGCUCAACAUUACCAAAGCAUAUUACAAGAAAACUCCGUUUUAUGAAGUGACGGUGAUUUACAUCUUUCUGUCUCUGCUCUUCCCCCCGACUUCCUCUCGCACACAUUCCCUCUCCAGAGGAUUUGAAAAGAAGCCUGGAGCUAUCCUUGUCGGAGCUCCAGGUUCAUCCCACAGACUGAGGAGCUUUUCACAAAACACCAUGAUUUCCUAGGGUUCCACUGCAGUAUCUGGAAAGAAAGAUGGUUUUCGGUCUGAACCGUGAGGGAAAUGGAGCUCGCUACUUCACAGAAUCAUCAUCAUCGUCAUCCUCAUUCCCAUUAGGAUUAGAAUUGGGUAUUCUCUAAAAAUCCAAAGUCCGUGACUACCCAAUUUCAGCAGCCGUUUUACCCCCAUGAGAUUGCAACACAGCAAGAUCCCACACGUGUGCCUAUCUGGGCUGCGUGUGUGAAACUCUCCAGCCCCAUUUCUGAACUGAGAGGAGGAUGAAGGGCCCUGCAAGGCGAUUUUUGCAGGAAAGUUGGAGCUGUGCCUGACGCAGGCUGGGUCUGCAGGCGUUUUGGAAAGACACUCGCCCUGGAAAGUGCAGUACGUCCUGGGGAUGUUGUGUAAACACUCGGAGCCUCUUUUCUGCACGGGACCGCUCAGUUCCCGGUUUCCAUCUCACAGAUUUUCAGGUCUGUUCUGAGGCCCAUUUGGCCCCGGGAACAUAAAGCAGUGAGGAAGGGAAGCCAUUUGGCAGCUGCGUUGUGUUUCUGAGCCCUGUCUUCGGCGUCUGUGGGCUUGCCAGCAGAGAAUGCAGAGGCUGGGUCGUGGAAAACGU
rnacentral:lncRNA from 1 species